UACGUAGGGUGCGAGCGUUAAUCGGAAUUACUGGGCGUAAAGCGUGCGCAGGCGGCGGCUCAAGUCAGGUGUGAAAUCCCCGGGCUUAACCUGGGAAUUGCGCUUGAAACUAGGCUGCUUGAGUGUGGCAGGAGGGGGGUGGAAUUCCGACGUGUAGCGUGAAAUGCGUAGAGAGUGUGGAGGAACACCGAUGGCGAAGGCAGCCCCCUGGGUCAACACUGACGCUCAUGCACGAAAGCGUGGGGAGCGAACAG
rnacentral:rRNA from 1 species